rnacentral:rRNA from 1 species
AGGCGACGACGGGUAGCCGGCCUGAGAGGGUGUCCGGCCACACUGGGACUGAGACACGGCCCAGACUCCUACGGGAGGCAGCAGUGGGGAAUAUUGCGCAAUGGGCGAAAGCCUGACGCAGCGACGCCGCGUGGGGGAUGACGGCCUUCGGGUUGUAAACCUCUUUCAGCAGGGACGAAGCGAAAGUGACGGUACCUGCAGAAGA